GAUGAACGCUGGCGGCGUGCCUAAUACAUGCAAGUCGAGCGAACAGACGAGGAGCUUGCUCCUCUGACGUUAGCGGCGGACGGGUGAGUAACACGUGGAUAACCUACCUAUAAGACUGGGAUAACUUCGGGAAACCGAAGCUAAUACCGGAUAAUAUAUUGAACCGCAUGGUUCAAUAGUGAAAGACGGUUUUGCUGUCACUUAUAGAUGGAUCCGCGCCGCAUUAGCUAGUUGGUAAGGUAACGGCUUACCAAGGCAACGAUGCGUAGCCGACCUGAGAGGGUGAUCGGCCACACUGGAACUGAGACACGGUCCAGACUCCUACGGGAGGCAGCAGUAGGGAAUCUUCCGCAAUGGGCGAAAGCUUGACGGAGCAACGCCGCGUGAGUGAUGAAGGUCUUCGGAUCGUAAAACUCUGUUAUUAGGGAAGAACAAAUGUGUAAGUAACUAUGCACGUCUUGACGGUACCUAAUCAGAAAGCCACGGCUAACUACGUG
rnacentral:rRNA from 1 species